rnacentral:snRNA from 1 species
AUACUCGCUUCGGCGGUACAUAUACUAAAAUUGGAACGAUACCGAGAAGAUUAGCAUGGCCCCUGCGCAAGGCUGAUACGCAAAAGCCGGCACGGUAGCUCAGCGUGU